UCUGGUGUUCACAGUAGGAAGAAUUAACAUCAUUAAAAUUUCCAGUGUCAUACAUAUAUCAGAUAGCUACAACAAAUAUCACAAAAAUUUAUAUGGAAGUACUAAAAAAACAACAACACAAAAAACAAACCUACAAACACACACACACAAAUAAUACAAACAAAAUAAACCAAACCAAAGCCAUGGUGAUCUUGAAAAGGAACCACAAACUUGGAGGAAUCAUGCUAACUCAUAUCAAACAAUACUACAAUGCCAGAGUAAUAAAUAGAGCAUGGUACUGGCAUAAAAAAAGACACAUGGAUCAUUGGAACAGAAUAAAAAGCCCAGAAAUAAACCCAUGCAUUUAUGGUCAAUUAAUACCUGACAAAGGAUACAAGAACAUACAAUUGGGUACAGAUAAUCCAUUCAAUAAUUGCUGUUGGGAAAAUUAGACAGAUCUGUAUAAAUUUAAAUGAUAGCAGACUACUUUCCUACACCAUAUAGAAGAAUAAAUGAAGAAUGGAUUAAAGACUUGAAUGUGAGAUUUGAAACCAUAAAAAUUCUAGAAGAAAAUAAAGGCAAUAAAUUCUCAUAGUAAUGUAUUUUAUUCUGAUAUAUCUAUUUGGGCAAGGGAAGCAAAAGAAAAAGUAAACAAAUGGGACUACAUCAAAUUAAAAAUUUGUUGCACAACCAAGGAAACCAUGAACAAAAUGAAAAGACAACCCACUGAAAGGGAGAACAUAUUUACCAAUGAUACAUCUGAUAAGGGCUAAAUAUCCAAAAUUUACAAAGAACUAAUAAAAUUCAACAUCAUAAAAAGCCCAAACAACACAAUUGAAAAAUGAGCAAAGGACCUAAAUAGACACUUCUCCAAUGAGGACCUGCAGAUGACCAUUACACGAAUAAAUAAAAAGAUGCUGAGCAUCACUAAUCAUUACAGAAAUAGAAAUGAAAAUCAGAGUGAGGAAUCACCUCCCAUUUGUCAGAAUGGCUAUCAUCAAUAAAUCAAUAAACAUCAAGUGCUGGUGAGGAUGUGGAGAAAAGGGAACCCUCGUGUCCUCUUGGAGGGAAUGCAGAUUGGUGCAACCACUGUGGAAAGCAGUAUGAUGCUUCCUCCAAAAUUAAAAAUACAGCUGCCUUAUGACCUAGCAUUUCCACUUCUGAGAAUAUAUCUGCAGAAACCUGAAACACUGGUCUGAAAGGGUAUAUGCACCCCUAUGUUCAUUGCAGCAUUAUUUACAACAGCGAAGAUUUCACAGCAGCCCAAGUACCCAGCAGCAGAUAAGCAGAGACAAAGCUCUGGUACAUUAUACACAACAGAAUACUACUCACCCGCACACCCAAAAAGGAAAUCUUAUCUUUUGGAACAGCAUGGAUGGAGCUGAAAAAUAGCACAUUGUGACACAUGCUACAACCUGGAUGCACCCUGAAGACAUGACGCUCAGGGAAAUAAGCCAAUCACAGAAAGAAAAAUACUGUGUGAUCACUCUCGCAAGAGGUCCCUGGAGCCAUCAGAGUCAUAGAGACAAAGGUGGCUCCAAUUUUCCUGUCAACUUGACUUGGAGACAAAAAAAAGUAACUCUGUUUUCCCUGAAAAGCAUCUUGUUAUUUGAAGCUUCCACACAGCUCAUGGGGGAAGAGGAGUCUAAGAUUCUCAGCGAACCAGAG